rnacentral:rRNA from 1 species
UACGAAGGGGGCUAGCGUUGCUCGGAAUCACUGGGCGUAAAGGGUGCGUAGGCGGGUCUUUAAGUCAGGGGUGAAAUCCUGGAGCUCAACUCCAGAACUGCCUUUGAUACUGAAGAUCUUGAGUCCGGGAGAGGUGAGUGGAACUGCGAGUGUAGAGGUGAAAUUCGUAGAUAUUCGCAAGAAUACCAGUGGCGAAGGCGGCUCACUGGCCCGGUACUGACGCUGAGGCACGAAAGCGUGGGGAGCAAACAGG